rfam:Stegodyphus mimosarum contig89393, whole genome shotgun sequence.
GCCUUCGUGGUGUAACGGUAGCACACUAGGCGUGUAUUCGAUAGGUCCAGGUUCGAGUCCCGGUGAGGGCA